UACAGAGGUCCCAAGCGUUUGUUCGGAUUCACUGGGCGUAAAGGGGUGCGUAGGCGGUCGGGGUAAGUCUGAUGUGAAAUCUCCAAGCUCAACUUGGAAAUGGCAUCGGGAUACUAUUCGGCUCGAGGAAUGGAGGGGAGACUGGAAUACUUGGUGGUAGCAGUGAAAUGCGUAGAUAUCAAGUGGAACACCAGUGGCGAAGGCGAGUCUCUGGACAUUUCCUGACGCUGAGGCACGAAAGCCAGGGGAGCAAACGGG
rnacentral:rRNA from 1 species